GAUGGCGCUUAAGCGCGC
rnacentral:snRNA from 1 species